rnacentral:rRNA from 1 species
AUGAACGCUGGCGGCGUGCCUAAUACAUGCAAGUCGAGCGAACGAACGAGAAGCUUGCUUCUCUGAUGUUAGCGGCGGACGGGUGAGUAACACGUGGAUAACCUACCUAUAAGACUGGGAUAACUUCGGGAAACCGGAGCUAAUACCGGAUAAUAUUUUGAACCGCAUGGUUCAAAAGUGAAAGACGGUCUUGCUGUCACUUAUAGAUGGAUCCGCGCUGCAUUAGCUAGUUGGUAAGGUAACGGCUUACCAAGGCAACGAUGCAUAGCCGACCUGAGAGGGUGAUCGGCCACACUGGAACUGAGACACGGUCCAGACUCCUACGGGAGGCAGCAGUAGGGAAUCUUCCGCAAUGGGCGAAAGCCUGACGGAGCAACGCCGCGUGAGUGAUGAAGGUCUUCGGAUCGUAAAACUCUGUUAUUAGGGAAGAACAUAUGUGUAAGUAACUGUGCACAUCUUGACGGUACCUAAUCAGAAAGCCACGGCUAACUACGUG